rnacentral:rRNA from 1 species
AUUGAACGCUGGCGGCAGGCUUAACACAUGCAAGUCGAGCGGAGUGAUGGUGCUUGCACUAUCACUUAGCGGCGGACGGGUGAGUAAUGCUUAGGAAUCUGCCUAUUAGUGGGGGACAACAUCUCGAAAGGGAUGCUAAUACCGCAUACGUCCUACGGGAGAAAGCAGGGGAUCACUUGUGACCUUGCGCUAAUAGAUGAGCCUAAGUCGGAUUAGCUAGUUGGUGGGGUAAAGGCCUACCAAGGCGACGAUCUGUAGCGGGUCUGAGAGGAGGAUCCGCCACACUGGGACUGAGACACGGCCCAGACUCCUACGGGAGGCAGCAGUGGGGAAUAUUGGACAAUGGGGGGAACCCUGAUCCAGCCAUGCCGCGUGUGUGAAGAAGGCCUUAUGGUUGUAAAGCACUUUAAGCGAGGAGGAGGCUCUUUUGGUUAAUACCCAAGAUGAGUGGACGUUACUCGCAGAAUAAGCACCGGCUAACUCUGUGCCAGCAGCCGCAGUAA